AGACAGAAACAAAACUGCAGGUCCUUUCUCCUUUGUUGUUUACUUCAACACAAACACAGUUUUCCACGCUUACUGAGGUGAAGAACAAAAAUAUCAAAAAGAAAAGAAAUGGCUGGGAAAAAUGGGCCCAUACAAACAGGACAUCUGAGUACUGACAGAUUGAUUGGAGGGAUGCUGAGGCAGCAUGCGCUCCAUUCUCCAGAGACGGACACAUAACGGAGAAACAUCCGGCCUCAUUUCCAGCACUCUGUCUAACACUUGUCAUGAAGGCAAGUGUGCGUGCACGAGAGGAGAUGUACAUGUGGUUAAAAACACGUUCGUAGGUUCACAUAGUGCUAUCGUCCCUGGCCUCAAGAGAUAAGCCUUGAUUUACGUGCCUUCUGAUUUACAUGCUUCAAUUUAUCUUCUUAUUUCAUGGGAUUGUGUGUUAUUGGAGUACAUUGAUCAUGUUGCUGACCAGCAGCCACGAAGCACUUGGUUUAUUUAGCAUUCACUGCUUAUGCAGGGAAAAAAUAAUAAAAAAUUCUGGUGGUGUUCUCUGAAUGCAUUAAAGGACGUCGAAGAUUUGAAU